rnacentral:rRNA from 1 species
UGAAAACGACUGCUAAGACUGGAUAGGAAGAAAUAAGGCAUCUUUUUUCUUUUAAAAGACCUAGUGAUAGGUAUACUUUAGGAGGGGCUUGCGCCAUAUUAGUUAGUUGGUAGGGUAAUGGCCUACCAAGACGAUGAUGUGUAGCUGGACUGAGAGGUUGAACAGCCACAUUGGGACUGAGACACGGCCCAAACUCCUACGGGAGGCAGCAGUAGGGAAUUUUCGGCAAUGGAGGAAACUCUGACCGAGCAACGCCGCGUGAACGACGAAGUACUUUGGUAUGUAAAGUUCUUUUAUCAAGGAAGAAAAGCAAGUGGUGAACCAUUUGUUUGCCGGUACUUGAUGAAUAAGCCCCGGCUAAUUAUGUGCCAGCAGCCGCGGUAAGACAUAAGGGGCAAGUGUUAUCCGGAAUUAUUGGGCGUAAAGGGUGCGUAGGCGGUCUAGUAAGUCAGUGGUGUAAUGGCAACGCUCAACGUUGUCCGGCUAUUGAAACUGCUAAACUUGAGUUAGAUAGAGGCGAGUGGAAUUCCAUGUGUAGCGGUAAAAUGCGUAAAUAUAUGGAGGAACACCAGAGGCGUAGGCGGCUCGCUGGGUCUUAACUGACGCUGAGGCACGAAAGCGUGGGGAGCAAACAGGAUUAGAUACCCUGGUAGUCCACGCCGUAAACGAUGAGUACUAAGUGUCGGGUUAAACCGGUACUGAAGUUAACACAUUAAGUACUCCGCCUGAGUAGUACGUACGCAAGUAUGAAACUUAAAGGAAUUGACGGGACUCCGCACAAGCGGUGGAUCAUGUUGUUUAAUUCGAAGAUACCCGAAAAACCUUACCAGGUCUUGACAUGUUUUUGCGAAACGGUAGUAAUAUCGUGGAGGUUAUCAGAAACACAGGUGGUGCAUGGUUGUCGUCAGCUCGUGUCGUGAGAUGUUAGGUUAAGUCCUAAAACGAGCGAAACCCUUAUCGUUAGUUGCCAGCACGUUAUGGUGGGGACUUUAACGAGACUGCCAGUGAUAAAUUGGAGGAAGGUGAGGAUCACGUCAAAUCAGCAUGCCCCUUAUGACCUGGGCUACAAACGUGAUACAAUGGCUGUUACAAAGGGUAGCUGAAACGCAAGUUCUUGGCCAAUCCCCAAAAACAGUCUCAGUCCGGAUUGAAGUCUGCAACUCGACUUCAUGAAGUUGGAAUCGCUAGUAAUCGCGAAUCAGCAUGUCGCGGUGAAUACGUUCUCGGGGUUUGUACACACCGCCCGUCAAAUCGA